rnacentral:rRNA from 1 species
CACGUAGGGCGCAAGCGUUGUCCGGAAUUAUUGGGCGUAAAGAGCUCGUAGGCGGUCUGUUGCGUCUGCUGUGAAAACCCGGGGCUCAACCCCGGGCCUGCAGUCGAUACGGGCAGACUAGAGUGCGGUAGGGGAGACUGGAAUUCCUGGUGUAGCGGUGAAAUGCGCAGAUAUCAGGAGGAACACCGGUGGCGAAGGCGGGUCUCUGGGCCGUAACUGACGCUGAGGAGCGAAAGUGUGGGGAGCGAACAGG